rnacentral:tRNA from 1 species
GGGUUCGUAGCUCAGCUGGGAGAGCACCUGCUCCGCAAGCAGGGGGUCGGGAGUUCGAGUCUCCUCGGAUCCA